GACGAACGCUGGCGGCGUGCUUAACACAUGCAAGUCGAACGGAAAGGCCCUGCUUUUGUGGGGUGCUCGAGUGGCGAACGGGUGAAUAACACGUGAGUAACCUGCCCUUGACUUUGGGAUAACUUCAGGAAACUGGGGCUAAUACCGGAUAGGAGCUCCUGCUGCAUGGUGGGGGUUGGAAAGUUUCGGCGGUUGGGGAUGGACUCGCGGCUUAUCAGCUUGUUGGUGGGGUAGUGGCUUACCAAGGCUUUGACGGGUAGCCGGCCUGUGAGGGUGACCGGCCACAUUGGGACUGAGAUACGGCCCAGACUCCUACGGGAGGCAGCAGUGGGGAAUAUUGCACAAUGGGCGGAAGCCUGAUGCAGCAACGCCGCGUGCGGGAUGACGGCCUUCGGGUUGUAACCCGCUUUCGCCUGUGACGAAGCGUGAGUGACGGUAAUGGGUAAAGAAGCACCGGCUAACUACGUG
rnacentral:rRNA from 1 species